UCGCGUUCUCGUGUCUGUCUAUGCAAAGCAAGUUUGCGGGAUGCCAGCCCUCCUUUAACUUCUCAAUAACCAAUUUCAACCCCCUCCCCCAAAUACAUGGGAAAGCUGAUACUUUCUUUAGAUUCCUCUGUGAACACUGUGCGAACAUCACUUUGCACUUCGAGGAACGAGAACAUACGGUUAUUCCAGCCCCAGGGUCUGAGCUAAAACAGAGAGAAGCAGACAGACACACACACACAAACACACUCAGAGAGAGAGGGACGGAUGGGAAUCCGAGUCAACAGAUCAGGACAGCCCAUGCCUAAAUAACAGAUGCCAGGCACGUGAAUAAUGGCAUUUGUGUGUAUUUUCUCAAAUGCUUGUUAUCAUGUCAUUGAUUUUAUAGCUACUGGAUACGUAACAUUUAUGGAUCGUCUUUUCUUUGUCUUUUUUCAUAAUGCUGUAGAUUGCAACCAGAUUGCAUAUUUAGUGUAAAUAUUAAGAUGUACAGUUCUGUAAGCUUCGGGAAUUGUUCAUUUUUACGUUUUAUAAACUAAAACAAAAACAGGAGGCUGACCCCCAUCCUCUGACUGUAUGUUUAAUAGGUGAUGUGCUCAUAUCGUAACUCCUCAAAACCAUGUAUACAAACAGUGGAUUUUUAUUUUGUAUUAAUUCAUUAAUAAGAAAAUAAAUG